rnacentral:rRNA from 1 species
CGGGAAAAGCUCAAAUUUAAAAUCUGGCAGUCUUUGGCUGUCCGAGUUGUAAUCUAGAGAAGCAUUAUCCGCGCUGGACCGUGUACAAGUCUCUUGGAACAGGGCGUCAUAGAGGGUGAGAAUCCCGUCUUUGACACGGACUACCAAUGCUUUGUGAUGCGCUCUCAAA